rnacentral:rRNA from 1 species
UGGGGAAUCUUGGACAAUGGGCGCAAGCCUGAUCCAGCCAUGCCGCGUGAGUGACGAAGGCCUUAGGGUUGUAAAGCUCUUUUGGCGGGGACGAUAAUGACGGUACCCGCAGAAUAAGCCCCGGCUAACUUCGUGCCAGCAGCCGCGGUAAUACGAAGGGGGCUAGCGUUGUUCGGAUUUACUGGGCGUAAAGGGCGCGUAGGCGGUGUGUCAAGUCAGUUGUGAAAUCUCCGAGCUUAACUCGGAACGGUCAACUGAUACUGUCACACUAGAGUACAGAAGGGGCAAUCGGAAUUCUUGGUGUAGCGGUGAAAUGCGUAGAUAUCAAGAGGAACACCUGAGGCGAAGGCGGGUUGCUGGGCUGAUACUGACGCUGAGGCGCGAAAGCUAGGGUAGCAAACGGGAUUAGAUACCCUGGUAGUCCCUGAGCGGGCUGGCAAGGCGCAU